GUGCCAGCAGCCGCGGUAAGACGAACCGUGCGAACGUUGUUCGGAAUCACUGGGCUUAAAGGGCGCGUAGGCGGGUGACCAAGUCCGGGGUGAAAGCGCCCGGCUUAACCGGGCAAGGGCCUUGGAUACUGGUCACCUUGAGGGAGGUAGGGGCAUGUGGAACUUCCGGUGGAGCGGUGAAAUGCGUUGAUAUCGGAAGGAACGCCGGUGGCGAAAGCGACGUGCUGGCCCUCUUCUGACGCUGAGGCGCGAAAGCCAGGGGAGCGAACGGGAUUAGAAACCCGUGUAGUCC
rnacentral:rRNA from 1 species